UUUCCGUAGGUGAACCUGCGGAAGGAUCAUUACUGAGUGAGGGCCCCUCGGGGUCCAACCUCCCACCCGUGUUUAACGAACCUUGUUGCUUCGGCGGGCCCGCCUCACGGCCGCCGGGGGGCAUCUGCCCCCGGGCCCGCGCCCGCCGAAGCCACCUGUGAACGCUGUCUGAAGUAUGCAGUCUGAGACAAUUAUUAAAUUAAUUAUAACUUUCAACAACGGAUCUCUUGGUUCUG
rnacentral:misc_RNA from 1 species